rnacentral:rRNA from 1 species
UACGUAGGGUGCGAGCGUUAAUCGGAAUUAUUGGGCGUAAAGCGCGCGCAGGCGGCCUUUUAAGUCUGAUGUGAAAGCCCACGGCUCAACCGUGGAAGGUCAUUGGAAACUGAAAGGCUUGAGUACAGAAGAGGAAAGCGGAAUUCCACGUGUAGCGGUGAGAUGCGUAGAGAUGUGGAGGAACACCAGUGGCGAAGGCGGCUUUCUGGUCUGUAACUGACGCUGAGGCGCGAAAGCGUGGGGAGCAAACAGG